AAUCAACGCUGGCGGCGUGCCUAACACAUGCAAGUCGAGCGAGAAAAGGGGAGCAAUCCCCUGAGUACAGCGGCGCACGGGUGAGUAACACGUGGGUAAUCUGCCCUGGAGUGGGGAAUAACACCGGGAAACCGGUGCUAAUACCGCAUACGAUCACAAGGUCUGCGGAUUUUGUGAUGAAAGGAGCAAUUCGCUCUAGGAGGAGCCCGCGGCUGAUUAGCUAGUUGGUGAGGUAAUGGCUCACCAAGGCUACGAUCAGUAGCUGGUCUGAGAGGAUGACCAGCCACACUGGGACUGAGACACGGCCCAGACUCCUACGGGAGGCAGCAGUGGGGAAUAUUGGACAAUGGGCGAAAGCCUGAUCCAGCAACGCCGCGUGAGGGAUGACGGCCUUCGGGUUGUAAACCUCUUUCAGUAUCGACGAAGCGCCCUGUCGGGUGGUGACGGUAGAUACAGAAGAAGGACCGGCUAACUUCGUGCCAGCCGCCGCGGUAAUAC
rnacentral:rRNA from 1 species